GCGGGGCGGGUACCGGGCGGCCGGAGGAAGGGGGCGGCCUGGACCUAGGAGCACGAUCCGGGAGGGGUCUGGGGUUGCCUCCGCCAAAAGGAGGAGAGAAGUAGGAAGCUUGUCUGGCAUGCUGCGCACGCCCAGGCGCAUAGAGCCCUUCCCUCCCAGCGGGCCCCACUUGGCUGCCCCUCAGCAUCACCUGACGCUGCACCCGGGUCUGAAGCACCGCAUUCAUCACUUCCUGCACGCGCACACCCGGCCUGAUCCCCCGCUCUUACCAACGCCAGACACUGAUGAGACGCUUGACAGAAACCUCUAGGCCCACCUGGCUUCCCCGGUCGCAAUCCCAGGAGACAAACAGGGUCCGCGUUUACCCCCACGCUGGCAGGGCCUUCCUGCCCCAUCCUGAAGGCCUGGUGCACUGUCAAGGUCUGCAGACGCUGUCUUGUCAGAUCCCAGGGCACGGUGCGCGGGUAGAGUCCUGCUCCGGGGGACAGGCUGUGGACCCUGACCAGAUGACUUAACCCCUCAAACCUUCAGUUUCCUCUUCCUGGAGUGGUCAUCAAAACUGUGCACAAGUGUCCCCAGCCCCUUCCCUGCCUUGCAGUCCCAGCCUGCAGCAGAGGUGAGAUGUGCUUAUUCCACAGGGCGCAAGCUGUCGCAUCCUUUUUCCCACCUCGACUCCCGUGAUGGUGCAGCCGAGAGGAGCCAGACGGGGAGGGGGGGGGGGGGGGCUGGUGCCGCACGGCUUGUUUGCUGCCAGUGUUACUCCCAAGUGCUGCGAAGUGUGCCGAGUGGACAGCCCCUGCCCGUGCUGCCUGCCUUAGGACAAAGCCCUGCUGAAGGGAGCUGUCCGGAUGCUUCUUGGGAAGGUUCAGUACUGGCCUGAGGUCACCCAGCUUGUCAGCAGCGGUCCCAGCACUGAAACUCCACCUGUGCGGUUCCGAGGCCUCUGCUCCCUCACCUUCCCUGGGAAGUCGUCCUUCCCAGGCCGGGAGCCCCUCUGCAGCCUGCUGUGGCAGACCACACUCAGGUGCGGCGUCAUCUCAGGACACACCUCCUAAAACGCAGGUGGGGCCACUUACCUGUAACCCCUGUGCGGUGGCCACAGUAACAGCACGCGUGACACCGGAAGUGUGUUCUGAGGGCUGACGUGAGGCCUAAGGGGGCCUCACACACUCCAUCGCCAGAGUUAUUAACGUCACGCUCCAUUUUCUUUCUCCAUGGCCCCUACUAGAAUUCUGGGCAAUCACAAGCGAGUCGUCAGGCUGCUUGGCUGCGCUCGGAUUCCUGGUUUGGUGCUGGAUACAGAUGGUAAAACAUCUGCGUCUAGGAACCUGACCUCCACACUGCCCUGUGCCUUGUAUUUACGUGAGGCUCAUCACAUGUCCUUUACUGUACAUGCUGUUUUCCAAGCAGGAAAGAGGGGAUGUUUGAUUUCUGGAGAAAUCUUUGUUCGGAAAAACACUGUAAUACCACUUGUCAUUUAUCUCAUAUUUAUCAUACGAAGUGACACCUUGCUUGUUGAAUGGCUCCCAGCUCGAACUUUUCUGGUACUUGAACAGCAAAGUUCGAAAAAAGCCUGCUGGGUGUUCAGGACUUUGCUCUGUAGUUGAAACGAAAAUCCGACUUGAGAAAACCUGCAGGGGCUGAGAGUGAGUCACAGGUUGCGUCUCGCCACAGAGGGGAGAUGCCUCAGUGCGAGUGACGCUCUCGCUCAGAUGCACACAGGGCUUGUGUCGGGGUGUUAAGACAUUCCACACUCGGCUUUUUUGUGUGUGUGCUUUAUUUGGGUAGAAUAUCGUAACCCUGGCUCCAAGGAAAGUUAUGAUACCAGCGGUAAAGCUAAGAGGAAAACUGUGGGAACCACGAUAGAGUUAAAGAAAGAAAUCACUGCGAAACUUGUUAAAGUCCUGGAAAAAUGAAUUUAUAAGUGUAACUGUUGGGCCUCAGAACCAAUUAUUUGGUUUUCCAUUAUUUCUUAUGGGAAAAAUAUGUCUGGUUCUUGAACUUGUCGGUGUUUGAACAUGAAUUUGGAAGGAACUGAGUUUGACAACCAAAGUACCAUUGUGUAUACUUUAUACACACUUUAUAUAGUUAAAGAGGUGGUACAUGUAUACAUACCACCUCUAAUCAGCGUAAAAUUCAUUUCACUGGUAAGAACGCUGAGUCUCAAAAAGGUCACAUUGCCUGUCCAAAAGGAAACAGCCUUUGCCAGGAUUUGAACCCAUGACUGAGCUCAAGGCUCUGCUCUGACCUCUCCCACGCUGCUUGGCCCCGGCACUCAAAUUAAUUCACACCUGCGCCUUGCUAGAUGCUGCUGUCCCUUGCCCUGGUGAGGUGAGGUUUGGAAAGUGACCUGAGAUUGUGACCGUGCUAAUGUGAGCGAGUUGCCUGGUGAAAAAUGUGUGUUGAACGACCAUCUUCCUGCCCAUAUGGAGGAGGCUGCCUGUCCCCAGAAAUCCACGUGCCUCCGUGCAGAGGGGGCUGACAGACAGCAGCCCCAGUGGGCACACAUCCCGGCCUCCCUUGACAGAGUGGGCCAUAGGAUAGUGGGCCAGAGCACAGUGUGGUUUGUCGCUUGCAGGGGGACAGUUCAGAGAGUAAAUAGGAGAUUGGACUCCAAGGCCCCAGGAUGGUGAGGCCACGGAUGAAAUGACACCACUCUUUGACGAGGACAUCAGACUGGCUCAUGAGAGAGAAACAGACUAUUGUGUUAAGUCCGUGAAGCUAGACGGUUCAUGCAGCUAGCGCUGCCCUAAUACAUGCUAUUUACGCAAGCAUGUGUUGAUACAUAAAAUGCAAAGUGGAAGACUAAAACUACCAUGUGAGACCAGGCAUGAUGGCGCAUACCCAUGAUCCCAGCACUCAGGAGGCUGAGGCAGGAGGAUCACCACAUGUUUGAGGCCAGCGUGGCAGCCUAGUGAGUUCAAG
rnacentral:lncRNA from 1 species